rnacentral:rRNA from 1 species
UACGUAGGUUGCGAGCGUUGUUCGGAUUUAUUGGGCGUAAAGGGUUCGUAGGGGGUUGGCUAAGUCUGGCGUGAAAUCCCGAAGCUUAACUUCGGAACUGCGUUGGAAACUGGCUGACUAGAGCGUCGGAGAGGGGAGUGGAAUUCCUGGUGUAGCGGUGGAAUGCGUAGAUAUCAGGAGGAACACCAAAAGCGAAGGCAGCUCCCUGGACGACCGCUGACCCUGAGGAACGAAAGCGUGGGGAG